rfam:Gossypium arboreum cultivar AKA8401 contig_85185_1, whole genome shotgun sequence.
GGGUCCGAUCAUACCAGCACUAAUGCACCGGAUCCCAUCAGAACUCUACAGAGAAGCGUGCUUCGGCGAGAGUAGUGCUAGGAUGGGUGACCUGUUGGGAAAUCCUCGUGUUGCACCCC